GGUCAAGCUACUAAGGGCACAUGGGGGAUGCCUUGGUGCCAGAAGCCGAUGAAGGGCGUAGCAAGGCUGCGAUAAGCCCCGGAUAGCUGUCUAGCGAGCUUAACCGGGGAUUCCCGAAUGGGUAAACCCGCCUCAAUUUAGAGGCACUUUUUCUGUGAAGAAUUAGAGGUAAGCGGGAGAACUGAAACAUCUAAGUACCCCGAGGAAAGGAAAUCAACCGAGACUCCCCUAGUAGCGGCGAGCGAACGGGGACUAGCCCAAACCACAUGAGCCUAACGGACUGGAGUCUUAUGCCUUUGUGGUGUUGUAGGGCCG
rnacentral:rRNA from 1 species